CCUACGGGUGGCAGCAGUAGGGAAUAUUGCUCAAUGGGGGAAACCCUGAAGCAGCAACGCCGCGUGGAGGAUGAAGGUUUUCGGAUUGUAAACUCCUUUUGUUAGGGAAGAUAAUGACGGUAUCUAACGAAUAAGCACCGGCUAACUCCGUGCCAGCAGCCGCGGUAAUACGUAGGGGGCAAGCGUUACCCGGAUUUACUGGGCGUAAAGGGCGCGUAGGCGGGUUUGCAAGUCAGAUGUGAAAGCCUAAGGCUUAACGGUGGAACUGCAGUGGAAACUGUUAUUCUGGAGUGUGGGAGAGGUAGGUGGAAUGCGUGGUGUAGAGGUGAAAUGCGUAGAGAUCAAGAGGAAAAC
rnacentral:rRNA from 1 species